UCCUGUCUCUCUCUAAAGCAAAGCAAAACAUAUCAAUAAAACUAAAAAUCAAUCGUUCUUCAUCUUCUCCAAUUUCCUUAAUAUCAUUCGUCCCCCUCUCCCCAUUCUGAAGCAAAACAGUGGAAGUCCCAAACAAAAACAAUAAAACCCUAGCCCUAGGUUCGUUGUCGCUGCCGUCCCCUGUCUCAGCGCUUUCGCUUCUUCCUCUUCCCUCUGUCCGGAACCCAGGCAGCUCGGCACGCCGUCCCCAUCUUCACUGGCUUCUCUGUCCGUGGCUUGGAGCAGCUUCUCUCGAAACCUAGCUUCUCUCGCUCUCUUCUCUCAGUCUCGCCCUCGCACAAUCUUGCAGUCGCUCUCUGCUGCUCACAGUCUCACCCUUGCAGAGUCGCAAUCCCACCAGCCGCCAGCACCGAAGCCUUCUUCCCAGUUCCCAGCGAGCAUCGACCCAGCAGGCAGCAGCGUUCUUCCAGCAGCGCCCAGCGUCGCCAGCGAGCACCGACCCAGGAACGUUCUUCCCAGCAGUGACAAGCCACCGACCCCAGUUCCCACCGAGCCUCCAUCGUCUUCUGAAAAUUGCUUCUGAUUGCUGGUUCACUAGUUCAGUGGGUUUCUCUCCAUGCAUCAAUCCUAGACCACAUGUUUUUUGUGUGAUGGCAUGCACAUUAAGAAGACCUUCAACCAAAAAAUUGACCUAAAGCUCUUUAUAUAAGGAAGAGAGCUUUUGUUCAUUUAAUCAUGCAGAAAGCAUCAUGGGAACGUCCUGUAUAUUGAGGCUGCAGAAAAUGGCUGCCAUCUUUACCAACUAUUCCUGAAGUGUAGAACUAUUGAAUAGUUGUAAAAUUUUUGCAGUUAAUAUUAUUUACAACUCUUACAACAUUUUCUGAGAGGUUCUGGGUUGUGUGUAUCUACUAAAUAAUAUCAAGGAUGUUUACUUGCUUAAAUUUUUAAAAGUAAUAGCAGGGAGAACCAAUAGUUGUUAACUUUCAUUACUUUAGAGAUAUUACUGGUAGAAUCUGCAUGUGUUCAAUUGUUUUCAAAUAAAAUAUUGUAAUAAUCCUUAUGGCUAUGCAGUUUAGAAUUUAUAUAGAAUGAGUCUUGAGUCUUGAGAUCACUCAGGAACAAUUUUCUUCAC